rnacentral:tRNA from 1 species
UAGCCUAGUGGUUAAGGCUAUGGAUCGCCAAUCCGGAGACGGCGGGUUCUAAUCCCGU